rnacentral:miRNA from 11 species
UGGGAUUUUGUGGACCAGAAGA